rnacentral:rRNA from 1 species
CAGCGUCACAAGUGGCGUCCGCUAUUAUUGGGCCUAAAGCGUCCGUAGCCGGUUCGUUAAAUGCUUUGUGAAAUUGUCGGGCUUAACCUGACAGCGUGCAAAGUAGACUGGCGAACUCGAGACCGGGAGGAGUCAGAGGUAUGCAAAGGGGAGCGGUAAAAUGUUGUAAUCCUUUGUAGACCACCUGUGGCGAAGGCGUCUGACUAGAACGGUUCUGACGGUGAGGGACGAAAGCCAGGGGAGCGAAAUGGAUUAGAUACCCGAGUAGUCC